rnacentral:rRNA from 1 species
GUCCGCGCCCUAAACGAUGUAUGCUUGGUGUUGGGCCUUUCGGGGCUCAGUGCCGUAGGGAAUCUGAUAAGCAUACCACCUGGGGAGUACGAUCGCAAGGUUGAAACUCAAAGGAAUUGACGGGGGCCCGCACAAGCGGUGGAUCAUGUGGUUUAAUUCGAUGCAACGCGAAGAACCUUACCCGGGCUUGAAGUGCAGAAAGUACAGAGAUGAAAGUCGACGGACCCGUUAAGUCGGAAUUCUGCAGAGGUGCUGCAUGGCUGUCGU